GGGGUUGUGGCUCAGUGGUAGAGUGCACACCUAGCAUAUGUGAGGCACUGGGUUUGAUUCUCAGCACCACA
rnacentral:tRNA from 1 species